rnacentral:rRNA from 1 species
GACGAACCGAGCGAACGUUGUUCGGAAUCACUGGGCUUAAAGGGCGCGUAGGCGGGCUGUCAAGUCUGGGGUGAAAUCCCGCGGCUCAACCGUGGAACUGCCUUAGAUACUGACGGCCUCGAGGGAGAUAGGGGCGAGCGGAACUGUGAGUGGAGCGGUGAAAUGCGUUGAUAUUCACAGGAACUCCGGUGGCGAAGGCGGCUCGCUGGAUCUCUUCUGACGCUGAGGCGCGGAAAGCUAGGGGAGCAAACGGG